rnacentral:rRNA from 1 species
UACGUAGGGUGCGAGCGUUAAUCGGAAUUACUGGGCGUAAAGCGUGCGCAGGCGGUUCGUUGUGUCGGUGGUGAAAGCCCCGGGCUUAACCUGGGAAUGGCCAUGGAAACUGGCGAACUGGAGUGUGGCAGAGGGGGGUGGAAUUCCGCGUGUAGCAGUGAAAUGCGUAGAGAUGCGGAGGAACACCGAUGGCGAAGGCGGCUUUCUGGUCUGUAACUGACGCUGAGGCGCGAAAGCGUGGGGAGCAAACAGG